AACGAACGCUGGCGGCAUGCCUAACACAUGCAAGUCGAACGAGACCUUCGGGUCUAGUGGCGCACGGGUGCGUAACGCGUGGGAACCUGCCCUUAGGUUCGGAAUAACUCCCCGAAAGGGGUGCUAAUACCGGAUAAUGUCUUCGGACCAAAGAUUUAUCGCCUUUGGAUGGGCCCGCGUUGGAUUAGCUAGUUGGUAGGGUAAAAGCCUACCAAGGCGACGAUCCAUAGCUGGGCUGAGAGGAUGAUCAGCCAGACUGGGACUGAGACACGGCCCAGACUCCUACGGGAGGCAGCAGUGGGGAAUAUUGGAGAAUGGGGGAGAGACUGAUCCAGCAAUGCCGCGUGAGUGAUGAAGGCCUUAGGGUUGUAAAGCUCUUUUACCCGGGAAGAUAAUGACAGUACCGGGAGAAUAAGCACCGGCUAACUCCGUG
rnacentral:rRNA from 1 species